GCAGCAGACCUUGUAGAUAGCAAACUCACCUCAUGCAAACCAUUUACCCAACCAGUUUUCAUCAGCAAACCUUUCCAGAAGUGUCACCACAUAAUUUCUUUUAUCUAUAUGCCACAUGUGCAAAAACAAAGUCAAAAAUUGGUUAUUUAGUAGGCUGAGUCUGCAACCAAACACCACAAAGGCUUUUUUUCUCCAGAGUGUUCUAAGUCUGCUUGCAGUUUAACUCUUCCCGCCACCACCACCAUAUUUGCUUUUAAAGAGUGUUUUCAGGCAGAAUUUUACACUAGAAACAGCAUUUAACCAAUCUGAGGAAAUAAACUUGACCCUCUCUUAUUCAACAAGUAAAGGCAAGUUAACUGACUGUACAAUACAAAUCAAAAUAAUAAUUUUAUUUGCUUUCCCCAUUAAGCAAUUCCCUUCCACGUACAACUUUGUGUCCUGCAGUAAUGCAGCAGAACCCAAACUGCUCACAGGUUUGCAUCUCAAGACUAGCGGGAGGUUCUAGGAUCCCUAAGUUAAUAACUCAUACUUCAGCAUUGCCACAUUUUUCACAUGUCAGAGAAAAAUAUUGAUUUCCAACAUGAAACAAAACAGCAGCAACUGAAAACAAGGAUUUGCUCUGAAUGUGUUUUUAAAUUAAAAAUUAUCCCAAGAAAUAGAAACCAAACUCUGACUGCCCACACAGUCAAUUUUGUGUACUAAAUUAACCUUAGGAGUGGUGCACCAACACAUGGAGUUGACUAAAUAUUUAGAGGUUAUUGACAAAGUUCUUUCAGAAAAUAAAUAGAAACUUCCUCUAGGAAAACAGAUUUCCCGGGGUUUGUAAAUAUUUCACAGCCCAAGAUAAACAACCUCAUGUUAAAAACACAAAACAUGAGAAAGUAACUACAAAUCAUAUAUAAAUCUCUUUGCUGGAAAGUGUAACACCAUUUUCUGUGCAAAGCCGACUUACCUUUGUCCAAGUCCAGCUUUGAAGCAAUUCAUGGAUGGGAAGGAGUUGGCAGAACAUGCACUAAUAAUUGCCCACGUGAAAAAGGGAAGUUUUACCCUCACUCCUUCUUUGUUGAGAGAACAAAGCCCUGAAGGAUUUUUUAAAUCUCCCCCCAAUCUCCCCCUGUACCCUUGCGAAAAGUGAUAGUUGGAAGCAACUGAAGUUUGUAUUUUUUUUUCAGGCAUCAUUUCCUCAGAGAAACAGCGUUUAAGCAGCCUUAGAAGAUAAACUCAACCUUCUCUUACUCAGCAGAGCCUGUCAAGCCUCCUGCUAACGCCAUUCCAGAAAUGCUGAUGACUCCAUCUUUCCCGGGCGAAGGGGGCUGGAAUCUCCAAGGACAACCAUUUCCCCAGCUACGUCUUUGGACAUUGCCAAUGGCUCCUCUUGAUGAUGAAUAGGACUGUGAACUGCAGAUGAAUCUGCAACAGACACGCUGGCCACUGAAAAACCAAUAAAUACGACCAGCUACCCAAGCACUUGGGUUAAGUGUGCCCCAGUCCUGCCCUGGCAAACACAGGCAGCUGUUUGGAACACCCCAGUCCAGAACGAGCAGAUUCUGUGGGAGUGACUGCAGGCUCCAAGGGACUGUGUUUCCUUCAGUCCCUGGAACAGCAGAAUCCCUAGGACUGACCUUUGGGAGUUCACUGUCGUCACAUGCUCCUCUGCAGCUGGGUUCUGUUUGGCAAGACGCUGAGACACUAAAAUCCAUCUCAGUGGUUCAAAAUGAAAAAGGGAAAUUAAAAAAAAAAAAAAAGUAAUGUCUCUUUCCCCGAAGUUGGCUGUAUUUCUGUCAUGUCCAGGGAAUUAUUAUGUAUUUCAAAUGGCUGUGAGUAAUUUGGAAGGAGCCUCUUACAGUGAGGCUCAAGUCUGUUGCUUUUUUCCCCUGCAGGCACAAAAGUUUCCAGGGAUAUCUUUGGGAGUUUGAGACAUGUGGAGGAAACAGACUGCCAAAGGCAGAUUCUCUUGUAUGUGGAUUUGAGGCAAUUUUGCUUUCCAAAUCUCAGGCAAUAAGGCACAUAAAGAGAACAAAUCCAGGAAGUGGAGAGGGAGAGCAAGCUUUGCUGUAAAUUAAUUUAUUUCACCAAGGAGGAUUUAGGUCCUGUUUUUGUACAAGCAGUGACUGUCCACUGUAAGAACAGUAACCCACUAACUUCAGCUGGGAAAGAGUGGAGGCCAAACUGUUUUUGUGAAUGGCUGUAACUGAGGAUGGGUUUGAACCUCAUGAACCACUGAGAAUGUAAAGUGGAGGAUAACAAUGUUGCACAUAUCUGGUCAGCCUUGCCUAGGCAGUAAAGCUUUACAAUUACACAGGUGCCCAUAACAACACUUUAGCCCCUUCCCAAGUGCCUCUUGUUUCUGCUCAGCAGAGGCUGAACUGAAAAAUGUUCCACUUCUAUUAGAACACAGAGAUUUAACCAGGCAUUACAGAAACAGCACAGAGAGUUCAGCCUGUGCAUCGUAGGUGACACUGAACCCACCUCCCCAUCCAGCUUGAAACAUGUCACAGAGUAUUUAGGCAGCCUUAUUUUAGGGACCUAAAAUUAGUUCCUCUGAAUCACGCUUUAGGAGAGCCUAUUUCUGUCCCAUACUACACAGGAAGCCCAAGUUCCUUGGCACCUCAUUCAGAUGCUGAAAUCCUUCCUGUCCUCAUCCCCCAAACAGUCUCUGUAAAAGAGAACUUUAUGCAAUAGGCACGUUUCUAAGUUGUCCCUUUGGCACCUUUCAGUGCCAGCUUUGGAUGACUGACCAAUUUAGAAACACUGGGAUGAGGGAAAGUCUGAGGAGCCUCAUCAAAAAGCAAGUUAUUCCUCUUUAUUUCUGUGAUGGGGCUUUGUGAGAUAUGGGAGGUCACAGACCAGGGCAGGGAGGAUACAGGUAACACGAAGCUCCUGUUGGAUUGGCUAUUCUUUUCCAAACUGUAA